CCUACGGGAGGCUGCAGUCGAGAAUCAUUCACAAUGGGGGAAACCCUGAUGGUGCGACGCCGCGUGGGGGAAUGAAGGUCUUCGGAUUGUAAACCCCUGUCAUGUGGGAGCAAAUUAAAAAGAUAGUACCACAAGAGGAAGAGACGGCUAACUCUGUGUCAGCAGCCGCGGUAAUACAGAGGUCUCAAGCGUUGUUCGGAAUCACUGGGCGUAAAGCGUGCGUAGGCUGUUUCGUAAGUCGUGUGUGAAAGGCGCGGGCUCAACCCGCGGACGGCACAUGAUACUGCGAGACUAGAGUAAUGGAGGGGGAACCGGAAUUCUCGGUGUAGCAGUUAAAUGCGGAGAUAUCGAGAGGAACCCUCGUGGCGAAGGCGGGUUCCUGGACAUUAACUGACGCUGAGGCACGAAGGCCAGGAGAGCGAAAGGGAUUAGAUACCCUAGUAGUC
rnacentral:rRNA from 1 species